rnacentral:lncRNA from 1 species
UAAAGGACAGGCUACGGGAAUCAAAUUUGGAAUCCCGAAUGGUCCAGAAGAGGGGGCGGAGGAUGAUUCAGAGGAGGAGAAUGCUGAUUUCUCUAACCCUGAGGAUGAUGAUGAGGAGUAUGAAAAUGAACAGUACUCUCCAAGAGAUGAUAAGUACAAAUUGCUGGAAGAACGCAUGCUAGCCAUGGAGGGUCAGAAG